UACGGGGGGUGCAAGCGUUAUCCGGAUUUACUGGGUUUAAAGGGUGCGUAGGCGGCUUAUUAAGUCAGUGGUGAAAGCUCGCAGCUCAACUGUGAAACUGCCAUUGAAACUGAUAAGCUUGAAUCUGGUUGAAGUGGGCGGAAUACAACAUGUAGCGGUGAAAUGCUUAGAUAUGUUGUAGAACACCGAUUGCGAAGGCAGCUCACUAAGCCAACAUUGACGCUGAGGCACGAAAGCGUGGGUAG
rnacentral:rRNA from 1 species